rnacentral:rRNA from 1 species
CAGCAGCCGCGGGAAAACGUAGGGUGCGAGCGUUAAUCGGAAUUACUGGGCGUAAAGCGUGCGCAGGCGGUUCGUUAAGACAGAUGUGAAAUCCCCGGGCUUAACCUGGGAACUGCAUUUGUGACUGGCGAGCUAGAGUAUGGCAGAGGGGGGUAGAAUUCCACGUGUAGCAGUGAAAUGCGUAGAGAUGUGGAGGAAUACCGAUGGCGAAGGCAGCCCCCUGGGCCAAUACUGACGCUCAUGCACGAAAGCGUGGGGAGCAAACAGGAUUAGAUACCCCGGUAGUCCCUGUCUCUUAUAC